GUUUCCCCCUUCCCGCUAAACCAUUUUCCCUAAUAUUCAGUUUCCUCCAAAACUUUUCACAUUCUAAACCCUAACUGUGCCCCCACAUUUGACAUCUCUCUAGUGAUAAUUGUGAAGGCUUCUUCGACGGAAUCUUUUCUAUAGGCUCGCAGUGAAGAUGGAGAACCCACAGGCGAAACUGGAUGACUUGUUCGCAAAGUUGCCACUCAGUUCAACCAUAUUAAGAUCCGGUCCGUCAAGUGGAGGUUAGAUAUAUUUUAGGGGUUUUAGUUAUUGCUGAAAUUUGUAUGACACUUCAUCUCCAAAUCGCGUUGUUCAUUCUAAAUUGCAGGUACAUAUCUUUGAUUGUUGUAAAUAGAUUUUAGUUUUCUCAAUUCCUCAUUCUCAGAGUAAAGAGGUAACCUGGAUACAAAAAUAUGAUCUAAUCAAGCCACUAAGUUAUGAAGGACAAUACAUUUUGACGGGGGGUAUGGAAGACCAAAAAUUGGUAACCUGGGGAGAGGGUCACAACUAACGAGAACAAAUGAAGAACUACAAACCUAUAAACGAUGGCAACACUAAGAUAGAUCCUUUUUUAGCUGUAAUAAAGAAAGAGAACUAUAGAUAUCACUGACUUUAUCUAACUUUAUGAUAGACACAUUACAAAUACUUUGAUAAAAAAAAAGUAGAUGUGCUACAUCAUACAUGAUUCCGGAGGGGUUGAUAGAAUCAUUCAUAGGCUCAAAGAAAACGUUGAAGUUCAGAAAAACCAGUUGAUGGAAAUGCUCAAUGAGAUUGAAGAGGAUCAUGAAAGACUAAAAGUCGAGGCCAAAAGAUAUUAACAACCAACAAAAGAAGACUUGGAAGCCAUGAUGCAUGAGAUUAAGGAUCAACUACCAGUUAAGAUGAGUAGAUAGUUUUCAUUACUCUUUAUUAUUGUACUGAUAUUAUAUGACCACUAUCUUAUUUGAGUUCAGACAAAUAUGUUAAAGUACAUUAUUUGUCUAUCAUUGAUAUAUAUGUUAUUAUUGUUUUGGCGUA